rnacentral:RNase_P_RNA from 1 species
GUAGUACCCUGGUUCUGUCGCUGGUAUUUUUAUACGAGAGGAAAGUCCGGGCAGCAUAGGGCAUCCUGCUUCUGAAAGUAGAAGCUAUUGGCAACAGUAGAUAUAGGUAGAAGAAAAUAACCGCCAUCAACUGUGGUAAGGGUGAGAAGGUGGUGUAAGAGACCACCGGGCAAGAUAGGUAACUGUCUGCUCGUACCGUUCAGGAGCUGCAAGUUCAUGUAAACCGUUGUUUGAGAGUUGCCCGCUCGAAACUAUGUUACAACGGAGGGUAGAACGCUAUACUGUAUGAGGCGACUCGUCAGACAGAUAGAUGACAGAUGUUUUCAUCUUUCGAAAGAAAAUGAAAAAACCGAACCCGGCUUAUAGGGGUGCUGCUUAU